ensembl:lncRNA
CUGAAGUGCCCACAUCUGGAGAGGCCCUGGGCCUUGGGCCAGCAGCAGUGGGCCUGGCUGGCUCCUGGUGGCUCCCUUCUGUCCAGGGCCGCCAGUGUGAUCCAAAGAGUGAGUGGAGCCAGGCGAAGGGACACAGAUGGGACCCUGGGGGAGCACAGCUGGAAACACAGGUCCUGAAAAACACAUCACCUUCAGAAUGUAAUCUGCACAUCUCCCCUUAAAGCAAAAACUAACUGGGAAGCUGGACACAGUGGCCCACACCUGUGAUUCCAGGGAUUCUGGAGGCUGAGGCAAGAAGAUUGCAAGUCUGAGUGACUUAGCAAGACCCUGUCUCAAAAUUUAAGAAAAGAAAAAAGGGCUGGAGAUGUAGCUCGGGACCAGAGCGCCAGUCCAGCAAGCACGAGACCCUUGGUUCAAGAUCCAGAGCUGCAGAAAAAACCCUGCUGCUGCAUGGACACAUCGAGCCCCUGGGCAGAGCAGGAGUCCCACCCUGUGGGCAGCCACAUGUGCUCAGGGCAGAGGGGAGGUGGCGGAGACAGGGCCAGAGGCUGUUCCCAUGUCCCACCCUCCCAGAGCCUCCCUGGAGGAAACAGGCCACCUGCAGCCGGACUCGGCCAUGGGCAAAGCCAGGUGUACAGCAGGUGUCCAUCAGGUGCCUGCGGACUGCUGGUCCCCUCUUGGCCACUCAGUGAAGGACUUGGACAAGCACUGCCCCUCGGACCUCGCUCUCUGAAUCAGGUGGGUGGGAGCUCGGCCCCAGUGGGUGCUGGGCUCUGGUGUCCAGGCUGAGCUGCAGCCCUGCCCACCUGCCCCAGAUCGGCAUUCCCACCAAAGGGGAGCCACCCUCCUUCCCUCCCAUCUCUGAGGCAACUUCCGGAGAGAUAAGCAGGCAGCACCCAGGGUGUGUUUCAGAGCCCCGUCUCUGAAGCAUUGCUCUGGCUGACCCACCCCGUGACCACUAGACCUUGUGGUCCUCGUCCUGACACCUUGCCACACACCCUCAUGACCCACACAGUCCUCCCUCCGGGCUCAGGCUUUCAGACCUGGAGAGACAGAGGUCGGCGUCAGCCCGAGGCAGCCCAGUGUGGUGGGAAGCUGCAGAAACACACCCCGUGGGACUCUCACCCAUCCCUCAACCCCUCCGUAAUGCUAAGCUCUCCACAGGAGGCUCAGCCAAGGGGCAGCAGCCAACAGGGAGGGGUUGGCAAGGUGGGGAGGACUUCGAGUGCCAGGACUUUGCCUUGCCCUGCUCCAGGUGUGUGGCCCAAUCUCAAGCCCUGGACCAAACCCCAAGGCCCAUGGUUCCAACUGGCAUUUUGAGGAGGGCACUCUGUCCAGGAAAGGGACAGCCACACGGAGCAUCACGCCCACCUCACGGAGCACAGGCAGAAGCAGCCAGCACAUCAGCAUGAUGACAUCUUCACAGGACAGGAAGUUGGCAAAUAUGUGAUCAGAACAUAGCCGUGGAGACACUGUGGCUGAACAAGAAGCGGGCAGCAGGAAGGUCGUGCUGAGGAGGGGCCAAUCCCACGGGGCGGGGGGUCCUGAAGAAGAUAAAAAGACAAACCUGAGACACACAGAUAAAACAUUUCCACCAGAGGGAGGAGAAAGGCAGAGGAUGCUGUAGAUCCUCCAGAGUUGGAGAGAAGAUGCCCUGGAGUGGAAGGGGCCUGAGAGGACCAGGACGAGGGGAAGCCUCACCGGAACAUGUCCUCAGGACUAGGAGAGCACCACGCCAAGAGGGAGCUCUAAGCUCAGCGGGGCUCCUCGAGGACCACUCUGAAUUCAAGCAGACAGUAGAAAAUGUCACCUGCAUUACUGAAAGAAAAGAACCUCAUUCCUGGGCUGUUGACGCUAACUAAAUCACAAAACCUAACCACACUGGCAUCUAAGAUCUUAGACACCAGCAUGAGCCACUUUGAGGUGACUUUUUUUUUUUUUCGGUAGUACUUUGCACUGAGCUACUGGGCCCUUUUCAAAAUGUUUAACUUUGAGUCAGAAUCUCACUCAGUCACUACAUUGCCCAGGCUGGGCUCAGACUUGUAAUUCUCUUGCCUCAGGCUCCCAAAGUGCUGGGAGUACAGGCAGGUGCCACUGCACUCAGCCUGAAAUCACUCUUGGAAGCCACAUUCAAGUUGGAGACUCAAACACAGACCUUUACAAGAGAAAUAAGCAAUCAGAUCAAGUUUAUCUUUGUAAAAAAAAAAGGCUAAAGAAAAUAAGCA